CUGAUGUGGUUGGCUGCCAACCGAAUUUGGUUGAUUGCUUGCCCCUUUUAAGCCCAAUGCAGUUUUCUUCUUUAUGUGGUUAUUAGUUGCUCUGCACUUUUUUGCUCUGCACUUUUGCAAAAAAGCGCAUCACCUUCCUAGCAAAACUCGCUAGAUUUGGACCCGCGGAUCAAAAGAUAUGGGGAUUUUUAAGGUUGGGGAGGGCAGUCACCUUCAGAAUCGCGUGCAUCCCAGAAGAGUUUGGUGUGGGUCUGGAAAACAUUCUGGAUCACCAUAUGUAAAUAGGCUGGAGUGAUUUCUAUAUUUUGACAGAGAAGUUUACUAAUGGUUAGCUUUCUUCAGGAUCUCAAGUUUGACAACAAAAGAAAGGGCUGCUGCCCCGUUAUCGUCGUCAUCCUCACGCAGCUCGGCAGAGAGAAAAGAGGAGGUCACCGUGAGACGACGGAAGAUCAAAGGAGGAUGGAUGAGUGCAUCACUACAGUACUGCCCUGUUUCUCCUUGUUGGCAGCACUGACUCGAUUUCAUACGAAAGGAGGAUGAGUGCAUCACUACACUUUUUCAUAGGCACUACCAAUAUACUGAACUAUGACCAAAAUUAUUUGGCAAACUUCAUGAGUGAGUUGAGAUUGAAGGUUAUUACUGGCUAUUGAUGUGAUGGCACCUGUCAUGGCAAACUUCACGAGUGACCAAAUAUCAGGUGGACCAGGAACCGAGGGCCUUGUUCUAUUUGUCGGUCACCCUUGCCUUGGCACUAGCCGUGCAAUGGAAGAGCACCCAUCCUCAUAGAACCAUCAUUAGAAUGAGCAAAGCGCCACUUCAUUUAGAGAAGAAAGAAAGGAGAAGAAUGGCGCUAUUCCUUGAUGCUGAGGUCCUCGAAGAAAUUACAUGAAGGUGGCUUCGGAGUUCUCUUUGGCUUCAGUUCAAACCUCAUCAUAUUGCGGCUGGAGCUGCAUUCCUUGCUGGAAAAUUCCUCCGCUAUGACAUAACCUUUCACCAAAAUUUCUGGCAUGAGUUCAAAACGACACCACAUAUUGUUCAAGAUGAUGUCCAACAGUUGAAGGAGCUACUUUAGAAUCGUAGAUUCCAUAUGCUUGCUUUUUAUACCAACAUAUGCUUUUACAUGGUUUAGUGGCCACUUUUAUACAAAUAUGUACACCUGGAUAUGGUGGCAACACGUCUUGGACUACUGGACAACAUUGAUAGUUUGAAAAUAUACUCAAUCAUUUUUCAUUUUAUUUCUACGACUAAAGAGUGUUGCCAUGUACAAAAAGGACAA